AUACGCUUUGUCAAAAUGACACAAAAAUUGACACACACAUGUAACUCAAUAAGAUCUACAAAAAAGUCAAUGCGCGCGUAUCUGUCAAAUGUACAGUUAAAGGGUUAUUCCGCAUUUUUUGCCGAUACGCACACAUUGGAAUUUCGCUAACUCCUCCGAAGGCUUUCGUUCCACCGGCACCACAUUUGCUCAGGCCAAUCUACACCCCAUGGCCAUUAAAAGUUAUUCAAAUCAUGAUGCUGCACCCCAUGGUUUAGGUUCUAGGGGGCGCCAAAAUAACCCAAAAAUCCACAUUCUUAAAUGUUUUAUAACUUUUUAUUUUUGUCCUCACUGGCCUCCAAGUUUUCUAGGAUGAUGCAAUGUCCAGCCAUCAACACAUUUGUGAAGGAAUUUUUACUCCCCAAAAGAGCGCCCCCCCAUGGUAGGAGAAAAAAGUCAAUUUUUUCUUGUCCCCUUACAUGAAAAUACACAUUGUUGAGUGUCACGCCUGAACGCUUUGUCAUAUUGACACAAAAAUUGACAAUCAUGUGUAUCUCAAUUAGAUCUACGAAAAAGUCAAAGAGCGCGUAUCUGUAUAAUGUACGGUUAAAGGGCUAUUUUGCAUUUUUGCCGAUUCGCACACAUUGGAAUGUGGCUAUCUCCUCCUAAGGCUUUCGUCCCACCGAUACCAAAUUUGCUCAGGGCAAUCUACACCCCAUGCCCAUUCAAAGUUGUAAAAAUCAUGACGCUGCACCCCACGGUUUACGUUCUAGGGGGCGCCAAAGAUGACCCAAAAAUCCACAUUCUUAAAAGUCAUUUUGGCCACUGCAGGAGUACAGAGUACUGCAGUUCUAGGGGGCGCCAAAGAUGACCCAAAAAUCCACAUUCUUAAAAGUCUUUUUGGCCACUGCAGGAGUACAGAGUACUGCAGGAUACACACACAUAUACACACACGCCAACAUACACACACACACACACACACACACACACACACACACACACACACACACAAACCAGACACACACACACACUCAGAGUCUGUUUUUUAGCACCUGCAAAAACAUGCUGUUUACAUAUUUGACAAGAAUGCAGAGGCUUCCUUUUGCCCCUGAAAAAAAUCAAAUUUCAAACACAACUUGACUGUUCAUUUCUCCAAAAGACAACCAUGAAGCUCCAUUUCAAACCUGAAGCAGAUAGUUGGUGCAUGUGUACAGUAACCUGAGGGGAGUGAGGUGACUAUUUCUGAGGAGAACAUGAGCAGUGAAGAUUCACCUUGGAGCUAGAACAGGGACGUGCACAUGAUUAUACAGGGGCAGGGGCUCAAGUUUUUUCCAGUCAUUUAUACAAUAUGGAAAUUAAUGUGAAAUUAAACCACAAAUAUGUGUGAUGAACUGUUUUUAAAACUUAAACUUCAAAUAAAAAUUGUAAACUUCAAAACAUAUGCAAAUUUUUAACAAAGAACAUAGUAAUUUACCUCUAUUUACAUCAAAAUGCAGGCAAUGGCCCAGGCGUUCUUUGUAAAAUUAUUUACAAAACACUGUAUAGUCUCACAAAUGUCACUUUUUAUUUAUGCCACUACAAAAAAACAUGAUGUAAAUGAUGCAUGAUGUAAAACAUGAUGUAAAAAACUUGUGUAGAUCCUCCUCUAUGUCAGUCCAUGUGUAAUUUUUCCAUAAUUCUUUGUUUUUUGCAGCAUUUUUGUUAGUGUAACUGCAGAUUGUGCUGACAGUGUCUAUGGCACAAAAAAAAAAAAAAAUUAAAAUGCCUCAACAUGAACCCCUGGUGGUCUCUGAGGGUGAAACCUGCUAACUGCUGCAGCUCUGUCAGCUUCAGUCUCCCAUGCAGAGCUCUGAGCGCAUGUGUGGCUCUGCACCUUUAGCAGCGUUGCUAACUCCUCAGUAAGGAAAGCCUGCUUCAUGUCAGAGUCUCUAAACUCCAGAAGAAGUCGAUAAAAGUCCCUUUCUUUCUAAAAAAAAGUCGUUAGGGGGUCUGAAAAGUCAUUGAAUCUAACAACAAAGUCGCUAGGUUUGCAACUACGUGUCCCAGACUGCAUCCCUGCUGAGAGUCCCUCCCUCCCUUCUCAUGUUGCAGGAAGAACGUAAGCGCCCGCCCCUUGUCAAUCAGUCACCAUAUAAUUUUGGAUUGGUUGUUGUGGUGAAGUUUUCCACCAAUAGGAGAGAUGUUGUGGUGUGUUUUUUUUUCUUUUGGCAAGCCUUUUCCGCCUGUAAGACCUGUCGCUAAUGUCUGCAUGCUAUGUUUUCCUGUCUCAUACAGCGCGAUCGAGCGCCGAACGUGAUCAAAAUAAGCAGAAAACAAGUAUCGCGGACAUAAUUUAUCAUAACUCUGGUUUUAUUUGGCCUAUCAACACAAUUUAAAAACUGGUAUAUAGGUUGAGGUCCUCACUUUUGAGAUAAGUUGAAACGGAGAGUCAACAAGGCUCCGUCUUGCAGC
rnacentral:lncRNA from 1 species